UGGGGAAUUUUGGACAAUGGACGCAAGUCUGAUCCAGCCAUGCCGCGUGCGGGAAGAAGGCCUUCGGGUUGUAAACCGCUUUUGUCAGGGAAGAAACGAGUUUCUCUAAUACAGAGACUUAAUGACGGUACCUGAAGAAUAAGCACCGGCUAACUACGUGCCAGCAGCCGCGGUAAUACGUAGGGUGCGAGCGUUAAUCGGAAUUACUGGGCGUAAAGCGUGCGCAGGCGGUUAUAUAAGACAGAUGUGAAAUCCCCGGGCUCAACCUGGGAACUGCAUUUGUGACUGUAUAGCUAGAGUACGGCAGAGGGGGAUGGAAUUCCGCGUGUAGCAGUGAAAUGCGUAGAUAUGCGGAGGAACACCGAUGGCGAAGGCAAUCCCUUGGGCCUGUACUGACGCUCAUUCACGAAAGCGUGGGGAGCAAACA
rnacentral:rRNA from 1 species